CUACAAUGAAGAGAUCCAGAACUCUCUCUUUCUGAUGGUUUAAUGGAGAAAUUAAAACGGAUCUGAGUGGC